GAUGAACGCUGGCGGCGUGCCUAAUACUUGCAAGUCGAACGAAACUUCUUUAUCACCGAGUGCUUGCACUCACCGAUAAAGAGUUGAGUGGCGAACGGGUGAGUAACACGUGGGCAACCUGCCCAAAAGAGGGGGAUAACACUUGGAAACAGGUGCUAAUACCGCAUAACCAUAGUUACCGCAUGGUAACUAUGUAAAAGGUGGCUAUACUACCGCUUUUGGAUGGGCCCGCGGCGCAUUAGCUAGUUGGUAGGGUAAAGGCUUACCAAGGCAAUGAUGCGUAGCCGAAUUGAGAGGUUGAUCGGCCACAUUGGGACUGAGACACGGCCCAAACUCCUACGGGAGGCAGCAGUAGGGAAUCUUCCACAAUGGGCGAAAGCCUGAUGGAGCAACGCCGCGUGGGUGAAGAAGGUCUUCGGAUCGUAAAACCCUGUUGUUAGAGAAGAAAGUGCGUGAGAGUAACUGUUCACGUUUCGACGGUAUCUAACCAGAAAGCCACUGCUAACUACGUG
rnacentral:rRNA from 1 species